rnacentral:lncRNA from 1 species
GACCCUUUCUCGGCUGGGGAUGCUUGAUUUCUGUCUGAUGGUGGAAAUAUUCAACAGAGCCUGGCUGGGGAUGGACGAGAUGAUCAAUCUGUCUGGUGACGCCGACCUCUGUUGGGGAGUAACUGGCUGUGCCUGGGGAUACUGCCAUUUUCUGAGGGAAAAAAAAAAAAAAAACAGGCUAGCUGGGGAAGAGAAUUGGUAGCGGAUUCAUUGGAAGCAUGAUUAGACCUUUUCCUUGAUCCUGAAGUCGGGUAGUAAU